UUGGCGGACGGGUGAGUAACGCGUGGGUAACCUGCCUUACACAGGGGGAGUAACACUUAGAAAUAGGUGCUAAUACCGCAUGAGCGCACAGGACCGCAUGGUCGAGUGUGAAAAACUGAGGUGGUGUAAGAUGGACCCGCGUCUGAUUAGCUAGUUGGUGAGGUAACGGCCCACCAAGGCGACGAUCAGUAGCCGGCCUGAGAGGGUGGACGGCCGCAUUGGGACUGAGACACGGCCCAAACUCCUACGGGAGGCAGCAG
rnacentral:rRNA from 1 species